rnacentral:lncRNA from 1 species
CGACGACGCCCUCCCCUCGCCUUCAGAGCUGUAAUAUGAGCCGCCGCCGGUGGAGUAGAACUGCGAGUGAGUGGAAUCGCCGUCCUCCGCGUCAGAGGAGCAGCUGAGUUCAUCACUACCUUCGUCCCCGCAGCAGCGGUGGUGGUAGAGGUGGAAUUGUUGCUCUAAAUCGAGGUGGUGGGACAUUUCGAUGACUGACAUUUCGAGAAAGGGGGGUUCUUUUCGAAUUGGAAGAGAAGAGGGGUUUAAUAGAGUUAUGAUUUCUGGGUUAGGUGACUGGCUUUGGCUCCUUUU